AUACUUACCUAGCAGGGGAGAUACCAUGAUCACAAAGGUGAUUUUACCAGGGCAGGGCUUAUCCAUUGCACUCGGGACAUGCUGACCCCUGCGAUUUCCCCAAAUGUGGGGAAGCUCAACUGCCUAAUUGUGCUAGUGGAGAGUUGUGUUCGAGCUCUCCC